GUAGGUGGCAAGCGUUGUCCGGAAUUAUUGGGCGUAAAGCGCGCGCAGGCGGUUCUUUAAGUCUGAUGUGAAAGCCCACGGCUCAACCGUGGAGGGUCAUUGGAAACUGGAGAACUUGAGUACAGAAGAGGAAAGCGGAAUUCCACGUGUAGCGGUGAAAUGCGUAGAGAUGUGGAGGAACACCAGUGGCGAAGGCGGCUUUCUGGUCUGUAACUGACGCUGAGGCGCGAAAGCGUGGGGAGCAAACAGGGAUUAGAUACCCUGGUAGUCCACGCCGUAGACGAUGAGUGCUAAGUGUUAGGGGGUUUCCGCCCCUUAGUGCUGCAGCUAACGCAUUAAGCACUCCGCCUGGGAGUACGGCCGCAAGGCUG
rnacentral:rRNA from 1 species